CCGCUCCGCGGCAUGUGGGAGCUUCCCGGACUGGGGCACGAACCCGUGUCCCCUGCAUCGGCAGGCGGACUCUCAACCACUGCGCCACCAGGGAAGCCUCAAAAAGGAGGUUUUAAUCAGGAAUGGGUGCUCCUGUGUGUCAGGAUGGAUGGGGAAACUGAGGCUCAGCUGUGAUCUCCCGGAGCAUCAGUUACAUGCCACAGGGGUGUGUAGGAGAGCAGGGCUGAGAUUUGAAGCCAGGGAAGUUGGACAAGCCAGGCUCCAGCAUGUGCUACAGAGGGACUUCAUGCGAAUCAGGUCAUUGAUGAGGUAAGCAGGCCAUGUUAUUGAAGGCUCAGGUCUGCCAUCACUAAUGUGCACUUCAGCCGGAAUAUCUGUCAGGGUCCAGCUGGAAAAGGAAAGCUUGUUUAUGGUGGGACUUUUCCAGUGUAUACCUGCUGAGUGAAUGGAUGGAUGGGCAGUGGUCAUGUGUGUCCCACCCCUGUCUGGAUGUGGUGAAGGAGGUGAUUGUAGGGGAGGAGUAGAGGGGGACGGCCGAGGCAGGUGGUGAGUGUGGCGGUCUCUCUGCUGGUCCCCAGGGAAGUGGGGAGCACCUCUGCAAUGCGUACAUUUCUCAAGCCUGAGAAGGGAGGUUUGGGGAGACGGCCCCGCUCUCUGCCCUCAGGAGACGCUGUGAGGACAAGAGUGCCAUCGUGGACUGCCACCAGCCUGCCCGCCCCUAUGACUUGGGCAGCGCUGCUCCCCAGAACUUUCUCCAGCGGUGGAAGUAUGUCCAGUAUGCAGCCACAGGAGGCUCUUGAGUACGAGCGUGACUAGUGCAACUGAGGACCUGAAACUGUAAUUUGUUUCAUUGUGGGUAAUUAAACCUAAAUAGUCACACAUUUCCUUUGCGAGGGAUCUGAGAGCCACAUCUCCGAGGCCGCAUUGCCAGCUGGCUUCCUGUUAGAUCCUGCAGUAGGAGGCGUCAGAGGGGGACUGGAGGGGGUGGGGCAGGAGAUGGCCUCCUAUCUUGUCCUGGCAGGGUCACUCCUGCAGUGGCCAGCGUCCAUCUCCUUCCAGCACCCUGGAGCGGGCCCUGUGGCUCGGUGCUCAGCAGCACCCCUCGGCCAGCCACGCUUGUUCUGUGGAUGUCAGGCACGCUGAUGGCAUCAGAAUUUACACCUGUUUGAAUUUUGUCUCCCUCAUUACUAGCGAGGUGACCGCAUUUUACGUUACCCCCGUUUCAUCGUCUCCUGUGCCCUGCUUGUUCAUACUCUGUGGCCCGCGCACUUUCCUGUCAGGCUGUUACUGAUUUGUAGACAUUCCUCUUACCUGUUGGAUAUGAAUUCCGUGUGUUGCAAAUACUUCCUUUCGUUAGGUUGUUUUUAUUACCACUCUAUGGUAUUCUUUUGUCCUGUGAAAGAUGUAAAAUUUUAUGUGGUCAGAAUUGUGCGCUCCUUUAUGCCUUCUUGCUAUAACCCGGACUAAUCUAGCCCAGAGUUAGAAACACAUCCUUCUGUAGUUUUAGUAAUACUCUGAUGGAUUUUUUAACGUUAAGUUCUUUUGGUUCAUUGGAAAUUGUAUAUGUGCAAGUGUAUCAGGUCAGGAAUUAAUAUAAUUAAUUUCCCUCAAAGCUGACAGAGUGCUCCAAGCCCACUCUUUCCUCCUUGAUUUUAAAUGCUGCCUGUUUAAGGCCCUGUCCUUUCGUUCAAUUUGUUCAGUUCCUUGAAUUCUGCUAUCGCUCGGCAGUGUGUGUGGUGCGGCAUGGCCUGGAGGGAGGGUCAGAGCACACGGCCCGGCUCACGUGGGUACCACUGCAGCUCUGCAUGGACCCUGCGCUCCAUCUUCAAGGUAAAAUCCUGAAGCUCAGAGUUUCAGCGAUGUGCUCACUUCACGGACCCUCAGCCUGAGGUUUCCAGCCGAGAGGGCCGGCUCCAAAGCCUGUGUUUUCUAGAAACUCGAGUGACAGGACCGGGGUCUGGGUGGUUCAGAAAUGGUGCUCCAGGAGCACCUCAGCGUCAGAGCGCCCAAACCUCUGUCUGGGCUCGUUUUCUCUUCACUCUACACUUUACCUGGGAAUCUCGUGCUUUCCUUUGGCUUCAGAUACCAUCUGGAUGCCAAAGACCUAUAGGCCUGUUUCUCCACCCAACCUGCCCCCCGGGCUCCAGGCCCAGGCAUGGACCUGCCUGGGGACAUUCCCCUGCAGGGCUCAAGCAGACCCCUUCCCGCCAGCCCACAUCUUUCUUCUCCCCACUCAGGGACCGCCACCAGCACCCCCUGGGGGUUUGAGCUGCCAUCCUGGGCAGCCAUCUUUGUUUUUUAAAUUGUGUUUCGUUGUUGUGGUUGUUUUUGGUUUUUGUUUGUUUGGUUGGUUUUUUUUGGCCUCACCGCACGGCAUGUGGCAUCUUAGUUCCCUGACCAGGGAUCGAACCCGUGCCCCCUGCAGUGGAAGCGUGGAGCCCUAACCACUGGACUGCCGGGGCACUCCCUGGGCAGCCGUCCUUGACUCGUCACUCGCUCUCACUCUGUCCAUCCUUUCUGGAGUCCUGUCAGCAUCUGCCGGCUGUGCCCUCCCUGUGGCUAGAGGGGCCUGCUGAAAGCACCACCUAAUCAGCUCUGCAGAGCAGGCCUACUGCCCGCAAAAUAAAACGGACAUUCCCUGAGCGCCCCCUGGGGGCUUCACUGCUUUUGGCCUGGCCCACACUCCUCUGGGGCUGGACCUCCUCUUCCUCCCCUGCGCCCUCUCUCACCUCAAGUGAACCCCACUCCCCUGGGCCUCCUCAGAAACCACUCACGUUGGUUUCAUGCUGGUUCCUGGUGUCGGGGUCUGUUUCAGGGAGCCCAAGGCAAGACGUGAGCUGUACAGUAAGUCCCCUACAUACGAACCUUCAAGCUGUGAACUUUCAAAGAUGUGAACGUGUGUUCCAUCAAUGUCAGGCAUGAGCGAAAUCGCAGCUCGCCCUCCAUGUCCUAUUGCUGGCGAUCCUUCAGCUCUACCAUGUCCCACCUCCUCUC